GCUUACCAGACACCUGAGCUUCAUCGAGAGAAGGGAAGAAGGAGGAAGAGGAGGAGAAGAAGAAGAAAAGGAAGAAGAUGAUAUACAGGAAAUGGAGUCUGUUGACAGGACCCGUAGCGAUCUUGGGGGGCAUAGUAGGCACCGUCGUCGUCGCCCACUUCAUCUUCUACGAUAACGAUCGAUUUCUGAAGCCGAAGCCGAAGAAUGCAGAUGCAUCCACUUCAAGCAAGUAAGAGGAGGAAGGUGAAAGAGCUGCCUUUUCAAUGUAACCCAAGCUUUUCACUUUCUGUCUUUAUUUGUUGUUGUGUAAAAUUGUGGUGAUGCUGCAGUUUCCGACAUGGCUUGUUAGUUUAAUAAUCCAGAAUUGAAAUGUGAGUUCUGAUUUAAGGUUGUGGAGUUGAAUUUCCUGGAAUAUGCAUUCUCGGUUGUCUUGACGUUUGCUUGCUUUUCAAGCUGAGAAGAACCAAUCAAAUUCCAUUGCAUUUGUUA